GAUGAACGCUGGCGGCGUGCCUAAUACAUGCAAGUCGAGCGAACGGACGAGAAGCUUGCUUUUCUGAUGUUAGCGGCGGACGGGUGAGUAAAACGUGGAUAACCUACCUAUUAGACUGGGAUAAUUUCGGGAAACCGGAGCUAAUAACGGAUAAUAUUUUGAACCGCAUGGUUCAAAAGUGAAAGACGGUCUUGCUGUCUCUUAUAGAUGGUUCCGCGCUGCAUUAGCUAGUUGGUAAGGUAACGGCUCACCAAGGCAACGAUGCAUAGCCGAACUGAGAGGCUGAUCGGCCACACUGGAACUGAGACACGGUCCAGACUCCUACGGGAGGCAGCAGUGGGGAAUAUUGCGCAAUGGGCGAAAGCCUGACGGAGCCACGCCGCGUGAGUGAAGAAGGUCUUCGGAUCGUAAAACUCUGUUAUUAGGGAAGAACAUAUGUGUAAUUAACUGUGCACGUCUUGACGGUACCUAAUGAGAAAGCCACGGCUAACUUCGUG
rnacentral:rRNA from 1 species